CCAAGAUGUUGUGUGGAGCUCCUCGCGCCCACCGCUUCUUGCUGCAGUUCCAUCCUGGGCGCGUACCGGUUCCGUACCUCCUCGUGCCCUCACAGGCAGUACGGAGCGCGAGACACUGCACUGCUGCCCGAGACCACUGCAGCACACAGUGGCUCGCGCCUCUGAGCGUAUUUAAAAAAAAUAUACCGUUAAAAAUUUACGAAAAGAAGAAUAAACGGACAGUUAAUCAGCAGCUCGUGUCCUUCAGGUGAAGGUGGUGUAGCGGGCUGGAGUGCAACCUCUUCUUCCUCCAUCCUCUCUCUCACUUUCCUGUCUCUUGUUUGUCCUCUCUCUUUUCCUUCUCUCUCUCUUGUCUGUGUGAUGCUGGGCUGUGGGUGAGUGUAUGCCCGUGAUCAGACUGAAGCUGGGGAAGCUAAAGGUGGUGCGGCGGCAGCUGCUGCAGAGGUAUGAACACCAGCCAUUUGUCUCCUGCCUGGCUGGCCUCUAUGGUUGCCAAUGGAGACGAUACCAAAGAGCUCGGGCGCAGCCGGGAGAGUGCUGCUGCAGCAAGGUGGAGUGUGGCAGCUUUGGCCUCCUGAUCCUCACCUUCUUCCUGAGUUUUCUGUUCCUUUAUUUCUGGAGUGAAGCUCAGAAUGACUACAAUGACUUCGACUGGUUUAAUUUCGGAACUCUUGGUUUCUGGUUUCCCUGGUCUUUGGUCCUGCUGGUCAUUGCUGCUGCUCUCUUCACGUACAUCGCCCUACUACUGGUGCUGGCAGUGUGUCUGCUUUCUGAGGGUCAAAGGUUGUACCUCCACUGGAGCCACAAGACGGGCAUUAUGGUGGCCUUGGCGUUCUCCAUCACAGCCACCGCCAUCCUAUCUGACCUCUGGAGCAAAGAAUGGAAGACUCUUCUUCUCUCCCUGCAGGUGACAGCACCUUUCCUCCAUGUGGCGGCUCUCUCACUAAUGGCAAUCGUGUCCUGGCCAGUAGCAUUGCACUUCUUCCGCAUGAACAAGAAAGUGUGUCAGGUGGCUCUCCUGGGUCUCUACCUGUCUGUGCUGUUCUCUCUCUACCUGGUUCCUCUGGGAAUGUACUCUCCCUGCAUUAAAGAGGCUGGGACCCUGGGGCCUGCCCCAGCACUCAUCGGACACAGAGGAGCUCCAAUGCUUGCUCCAGAGAACACCGUCAUGUCCUUUGAGAAGGCAGUGGAAGCUGGAGGAGAAGGGCUAGAGACUGAUGUCACCAUCAGUUAUGAUGGUAUUCCCUUCCUGAUGCAUGAUUCCACUCUGAGGAGAACCACUAACAUUGCAGAGGUUUUCCCAAAUCGAACACUCCUUGAUGCCUCCAUGUUCACUUGGGCUGAGCUACAGCAGCUGAAUGCUGGCGAUUGGUUCUUAUCAAGGGAUCCAUUUGGGACUGUGUCGUCCCUGUCUGAGGUGGACCACUACCAGGCCCAGAACCAGUCUAUUCCCUCACUGGCCCAGUUCCUGGAGGUAGCGGCCCGUAGUGGCAAAUUAGUGCUGUUUGACCUGCGCAGGCCACCGUACGGGCAUCCUUACAGCGAGUCCUACAUCAGCACCACUUUGCAGGUGGUGCAGGCCCACAUCAACUCCUCACAGGUGCUGUGGCUGCCAUCUAAAGACAGGGAGCUGGUCCAGGCUGUGGACCCAGACCUGCAGCAGACCUCUGGAGCAAAGGCUUCAAUUCAGGAACUGACAGACGCCCAUAUCACCAGACUGAACCUGCACUACAGCACUAUGUCUCAGCAACAGAUCAGUAAGUACCAGUCAGUGAACAUCAGUACUAACCUGUAUGUGAUCAGCCAGCCAUGGCUCUACACUCUGGCCUGGUGUGCAGGAGCUCAGUCUGUAACCACCAACUCCGUCCACAUCCUGUCCAACAUCAACAAGCCACUCUUCCUCAUGACUCCAGAGGAAUAUAGCCUAAUGUGGAUUCUGACUGAUGCCGUGUCCGCCUUCCUUGUCAUUGCAAUUUUCACAUUCCAUUGGUGGAGAGAGAGGGGCCUGCCCUUCUGGUCCAGCAGCCGACAGACUCAAGAGAACGGACCAUACAGCAAGUUCAGGACAGACUCUUCAGAGGUCAUCUGUGUUGGCUGGAGCCCCCUCCACUCUGAUUCCUCUGCUGGAGCCCUUGUCUCCCUCCCUAUGGUCUUCAACCCAUGACACCUUGCUUGUCAGACAUGCAUGUCAGCCCUCCAGGACGCUUGCAUGAAUCCUGAACCCUGUUUGCGCUGUACAAGUCCAUGCUUCCUGUUGAAAACUAGCCUCUGUGAAGCCUAUACACUACAGAUCCAAAGUUUUAGAACACCCCCAUUUUUCCAGUUUUUAUUUUGACAUGUGAGCAGUUCAAGUCCAGCGGAUCAUCUUAAAUGGUACCAAACUAAGACCUAAACUGCCAGAGGUUAAAAAAGGCGCCAGAAACUAAAAACAUAACAUUUCUUAUACAGUAAAAACAUUCUUUUAUCAGGGACCCAGUAACAGGUGAACUUCCAUCUUUUCUGCAACAGUGGACAUAAAUGAAGCCUUGAAAACUGAUGCAAACGAUUCCUACAGGUUUUUCCAACAGUUGUUGAUGAGUUAGUACAAAGGCAGUGUUGGGAAAAGUCUGAGCUACUGCAGCCUCUGAAAAAAGGCCAUGAAUAAAGGAAGUCGGAGCUUCUCAGGGUUUCAUCCUGUAGCAGGAUAAUGAGCCACAAACACCUUCAGGCUGUGGAGAAAAGAACAAGACGGUCGGCUUCAUGUGUCGGAACGGCAGCAACGGGGUCCAGACUUUCCAGAUGAAGAGUGAAAACAAGGCAGCCUAGCUGAGUGACGUGUGGUCCAUCUCCAGCAUCAAUGUGCGGCCUGACCUCCGGAGCAUGCCCAGUUCACCCAGUACCCCUCACCUGC